rnacentral:rRNA from 1 species
GACGAACGCUGGCGGCGUGCCUAAUACAUGCAAGUAGAACGCUGAAGGAGGAGCUUGCUUCUCUGGAUGAGUUGCGAACGGGUGAGUAACGCGUAGGUAACCUGCCUGGUAGCGGGGGAUAACUAUUGGAAACGAUAGCUAAUACCGCAUAAGAGUAGAUGUUGCAUGACAUUUGCUUAAAAGGUGCAAUUGCAUCACUACCAGAUGGACCUGCGUUGUAUUAGCUAGUUGGUGGGGUAACGGCUCACCAAGGCGACGAUACAUAGCCGACCUGAGAGGGUGAUCGGCCACACUGGGACUGAGACACGGCCCAGACUCCUACGGGAGGCAGCAGUAGGGAAUCUUCGGCAAUGGACGGAAGUCUGACCGAGCAACGCCGCGUGAGUGAAGAAGGUUGUCGGAUCGUAAAGCUCUGUUGUAAGGGAAGAACGAGUGUGAGAGUGGAAAGUUCACACUGUGACGGUAUCUUACCAGAAAGGGACGGCUAACUACGUG